UCGGGUGGCUAGUGGCGAACGGGUUAGUAACACGUGGGUAACGAACUCUAGAGAUGGGCAUAAUCCGUCGAAAGACGGACUAAUUCCCAAUAGUCCCCCCACCAUAAUUUGGUGAGGGGUAAAGGAGAAAUCCGCUCUGGAAUCGGCCCGCGGCCUAUCAGCUAGUUGGCAGGGUAAUGGCCUACCAAGGCGAUGACGGGUAGGGGAUGUGAGAGCAUGUUCCCCAACACUAGCACUGCGACACGGGCUAGACUCCUACGGGAGGCAGCAGUCGAGAAUAUUGGACAAUGGGGGAAACCCUGAUCCAGCGACGCCGCGUGCUCGAAGAAGCCCUUCGGGGUGUAAAGAGCUUUUCUGGGGGAAGAAGUUUCGACUGACAGUACUCCAGGAAUAAGGGGGGGCUAAUCACGUGCCAGCAGCUGCGGUAAUACGUGACCCCCAAGCGUUAUCCGGAUUUAUUGGGCGUAAAGCGUCUGUAGGCGAUCUGGAAAGUCUUUGGUUAAAUACCAAGAGCUUAACUUUUGGGCUGCUAGAGAUACUUCCAGAAUAGAGGGCGUUAGAGGCUGAUGGAACGGUCGGUGUAGAGGUGAAAUUCGUUGAUAUCGACCGGAACACCGAAAGCGAAGGCAUUCAGCUGGGGCGACCCUGACGCUGAGAGACGAAAGCGUGGGGAGCAAAAAGGAUUAGAUACCCUUGUAGUCCACGCUGUAAACGAUGGACACUGGCUAUUUGAAGUGUCGACCCUUCAAGUGGCGAAGCUAACGCGUUAAGUGUCCCGCCUGGGAAGUACGGCGGCAACGCUAAAACUCAAAGGAAUAGACGGGGACUCACACAAGCGGUGGGACCAUGUGGCUUAAUUC
rnacentral:rRNA from 1 species